CAGAUGUCUAGCCUUACACCAACACC
rnacentral:sRNA from 1 species